AUUGAACGCUGGCGGCAUGCCUUACACAUGCAAGUCGAGCGGUAACAGGUCUUCGGAUGCUGACGAGUGGCGAACGGGUGAGUAAUACAUCGGAACGUGCCCGAUCGUGGGGGAUAACGAGGCGAAAGCUUUGCUAAUACCGCAUACGAUCUACGGAUGAAAGCGGGGGAUCUUCGGACCUCGCGCGGACGGAGCGGCCGAUGGCAGAUUAGGUAGUUGGUGGGAUAAAAGCUUACCAAGCCGACGAUCUGUAGCUGGUCUGAGAGGAUGAUCAGCCACACUGGGACUGAGACACGGCCCAGACUCCUACGGGAGGCAGCAGUGGGGAAUUUUGGACGAUGGGCGAAAGCCUGAUCCAGCCAUGCCGCGUGCAGGAUGAAGGCCUUUGGGUUGUAAACUGCUUUUGUACGGAACGAAAAGCCUCUUUCUAAUAAAGAGGGGUCAUGACGGUACCGUAAGAAUAAGCACCGGCUAACUACG
rnacentral:rRNA from 1 species